rnacentral:rRNA from 1 species
UACGGGGGGGGCAAGCGUUGUUCGGAAUUACUGGGCGUAAAGGGCUCGUAGGUGGCCAACUAAGUCAGACGUGAAAUCCCUCGGCUUAACCGGGGAACUGCGUCUGAUACUGGAUGGCUUGAGGUUGGGAGAGGGAUGCGGAAUUCCAGGUGUAGCGGUGAAAUGCGUAGAUAUCUGGAGGAACACCGGUGGCGAAGGCGGCAUCCUGGACCAAUUCUGACGCUGAGGAGCGAAAGCCAGGGGAGCCAAAGCGGG